rnacentral:rRNA from 1 species
CGGCGUGCCUAACACAUGCAAGUCGAACGCGAACGGGUCUUCGGACCCUAGUAGAGUGGCGCACGGGUGAGUAACACGUGGGCAAUCUACCCAGGGAUUUGGGAUAACCAGGGGAAACCCUGGCUAAUACCGAAUACGUCCAUGAGGCCUUCGGGUCCUCAUGGAGAAAGGUGGCCUCUUCUCGAAAGCUGCCGUUCCUGGAUGAGCCCGCGGACCAUUAGCUUGUUGGUGAGGUAACGGCUCACCAAGGCCAUGAUGGUUAGCUGGUCUGAGAGGAUGAUCAGCCACACUGGGACUGACACACGGCCCAGACUCCUACGGGAGGCAGCAGUGGGAAUCUUGCGCAAUGGGGAAACCCUGACGCAGCAACGCCGCGUGGGUGAUGAAGGCCCUUGGGUCGUAAAGCCCUGUCUGGAGGAAAGAAUCCCGCUCUCGCUAAUACCGGGAGUGGAUGACGGUACCUCUGAAGGAAGCACCGGCUAACUCCGUG